rnacentral:rRNA from 1 species
UGGGGAAUAUUGCACAAUGGGCGCAAGCCUGAUGCAGCCAUGCCGCGUGUGUGAAGAAGGCCUUCGGGUUGUAAAGCACUUUCAGCGGGGAGGAAGGCGGUGAGGUUAAUAACCUCAUCGAUUGACGUUACCCGCAGAAGAAGCACCGGCUAACUCCGUGCCAGCAGCCGCGGUAAUACGGAGGGUGCAAGCGUUAAUCGGAAUUACUGGGCGUAAAGCGCACGCAGGCGGUCGGUCAAGUCGGAUGUGAAAUCCCCGGGCUCAACCUGGGAACUGCAUUCGAAACUGGCAGGCUAGAGUCUUGUAGAGGGGGGUAGAAUUCCAGGUGUAGCGGUGAAAUGCGUAGAGAUCUGGAGGAAUACCGGUGGCGAAGGCGGCCCCCUGGACAAAGACUGACGCUCAGGUGCGAAAGCGUGGGGAGCAAACAGG